UACGGAGGGUGCAAGCGUUGUUCGGAAUUACUGGGCGUAAAGCGCGUGUAGGCGGUCAGGCAAGUCAGAUGUGAAAGCCUUUCGCUUAACGGAAGAACUGCAUUUGAAACUACCUGGCUGGAGUUCGGGAGAGGAGAGUGGAAGUCCCGGUGUAGAGGUGAAAUUCGUAGAUAUCGGGAGGAACACCGGUGGCGAAGGCGGCUCUCUGGCCCGAUACUGACGCUGAGACGCGAAAGCGUGGGGAGCAAACAGG
rnacentral:rRNA from 1 species